rnacentral:lncRNA from 1 species
CGGCGCGGGAGGCAGGCGGGCAGUGCAGGCAAGGAUCCGGGGAGCCUCCCGCACCGCGAUGGGCGGAUGGGGGGGGGGGGGUGGUGCAGAGACGGCUCAUCUCCGAGAGCACAUUUCGCACUUGUCUUUACUAAAUGGAGGGGCCAGAAUGCGAAGGGAGGGAAUAGUCAAACCAGGGUAUGAGACACGAUAUGCGCUGUCACCCCUCAGGAGGAAGCACGGGCCAACGGAUCUCCGGAGACCGUGAAACAGACAACAUGCCCGGUGCUGCAACUAGAGGCUUUUGCUGGCAGGAACACUGGCAAGAAGGGCAGAGAGGGCGGAUAGCGAAAGGUCGGGACAGGAUAUUUGAAUCUCAACCAGGACCGGAAAGAAAAUUAAUUUGCGCACUUUCUAGAAGCAGGGUGAUGGAAGAUGCCUGGGGAAAGGGAAAGUGGCAGCUUCUGGGACGCCCUUGAUCAGCCCCAGGCCUGUCUGGCGUGCGGUGCAAAGUCUCGUCUCGGAGAACAGCGUGGGCCACGGCGACCUAUCUUAGCUGUCCUUGCACUUCGACUCCGGCGGUGUCCAGAAACCUAGGAACCCGAGCUCGUCAGGUCGCGCGGCUGCAGCAAAACCUGCAUCCAGCUCACCUAACUGCAAACUUUGCUUGUGAGAGGCUGGAAGGAGUCCCGUCCAGCUGUUCCCCAAGCUGUAGAGCAUUUCCUUUCCUUUUGCACUUCUGAUUGCAACUUUACAUGUAGUACUUGUCUCUCCCUGUGCAUUUCUUACUCCAGUUCUGUACCAAAUCCUCACGGGUUUCUCCUUUUCAUACAAGAGCUAAACGGAAUGACUCCGAAAAGGAUCAGCCUUAUUCCCUAAAUAUUAGCCCCCGAAGCACUGUUUUCGAUUGAUCUUUUAAAAUUAGCAAACCACGAAGAUUUCUGUAAGGGACUCUACCCACAACGCCAGAUACCUAAGUUUGAGGCAUUAAUAACAGUUCACUUGGAACAACACACACAAAAAAUGUUUUUGAAUGACCUGUAAAAGUUGUCUGAGAAAGUCUUAAUGCGUGAUUGAAUAACUUGUUCUAACUUAGAGGAUAAAGAGUAUUUGUCUUAAACCUCCGUGUUCCUCAUUCUGUACUGGGCUGUAGAAGCACUAAAGACUCUACAGUUAAGCACUAUGAUGGCAUGUUCCUUUUGUUUCAGUACAAUGUUUUGGUUGUUGUUGUUUUUUUCCAAUAAGAACAACUUCUUUUUAGAUAUUUAAAAGUAAAAAAGGAAAUCAUUAAGCCUACCAAUCUUAGAUAUUGUAUAAAUAAUUCCAUUAUUUAACCAACUCAUUUGGCAUUACAAUUUCCCCUCAUCUGUGAAAAUAUAAGCUCCUUUUCAUUCAAACUUUUACUCUGGCGAAUAUUCACAAUAAAAGUGCAGUACCUAAAAGCCCACUGUAAAAUACAUUGAUCCCUUAUACAUAAAAUAGAAAAACAGUUUCUUGCAAGCAAUAGGUGGAUAUUGUUUUUAAAUAGCCUAAUGACUCUUACAAUAGUAUUUUGUAGGAUUAGAAUAUGCGGAAUGAAAAGGUCUGCUUAAGUAUACAAAAGUCAAAAAAAAAUUACCUGAUACAAUGUGAAUUACAGGAAUUCUUUUAUUUUACUCCUGAUGAUUAUUUUGCCAUUCACAAAAUCUACAGUUAAAGUUAGUGCAUUGUUCCAACUGUCACCUAUUUUAUGCUCUGAACUAGUUUAAAAUAAAUGAACCAUCAUCCUGAUACAUUUACAAUAAACACAGCAGCACAGGCACUUUCCAGUUCAUUUCAUAAGCAUCGUGCUAUCUCACCUUCUUAUUCUAAUCAUACUGUAGUCAUUUCAAAGUUCUGUUGUAAUCGCAACACAUAGCUUAGCAAUAAUUAUUUAACCUUAUUACCAAGCGUAAUUGUUUCUGUUUGCUAAAGAAUAGCUUGACUUGUAGUCAGAACCCAUUAUUAUCUUAUACUCAAUAGACGAAAUCUUAGAACACAGAUGAAGGUUAGGAAGAGAAAAAAAAUUAUCACAUGAUUAAAUUUACAACCAUGAGACUUCAAUUAAUGGAAACCACAGGUCAAAGCCCCCAAAAAAGAAAUACAUUUAGAUUCUUUGCAAAGGAAAUUGAACACAGAAAUAGAGCUGACUUCAGUGCAUUCUAUUUUGUGUUUAUUUAGCAUAUCUAAAUCACUGAGAUUCUUUAACCAUACCAGUUUUAGCUCUUAAAGCCAGAACAGUUGAAGCUUAUUGUUACCCUAUUAUAUUCCAACUUAUAAACUAUAGAAUGAGAACUACGGUUAGAGAUCUCAUGAAUAUUCCUGGGAAAAAAUAACUUGAGGCUUCUGACCAAAACACUAUGUAAAACAUGUGCAUAAUGAGAGCUGCUCACAAUUCACCUCUACUUUCUGAAAGUUGUGUCAACAGAAUUAUGAACUUGGGAAAUAGUAUCGUAGGGGAAUCUAUUGUGGGUUUUUUUUUACUGCAUUUUAAUUGUUUUUCCUUAGUGAAUUGAAUAAAAUAUUAGAUUUCCAAUUAUGACUUCCAAUACAGAUCUUCCAAGAUGUAUUCUAGACUUCCAAUUAGAUCUCUUUUAACCAUUAUUCAUCUUUGUUAGUGCAUGUGUUGUAGAGCCGGGAAUCACGAUAUUCUCACCUGUGUUGUACCUGAUUAGUACUUUAGGAGUUAUGUCAUCUGGGCUAUAUUAAAAUUGCCUUAGUGUUCUCUCUGCAUUAUGUAAGUCAUGGGACACUUACAAAGCUAAGUCACCUUCAGCCAGCUAACUGAAAACUAAAAUGCUAUUACAGACUUAUGUUGAAACAGAUGUCAGGUUGA